GACGAACGCUGGCGGCGUGCUUAACACAUGCAAGUCGAACGAAGUGGCGAACGGGUGAAUAACGCGUAAUCAACCUGCCCUUCAGAGGGGGACAACAGGUGGAAACGACUGCUAAUAACGCAUCCUGAGGACGGGGAUUGCGUCUGAUUCGCUAGUUGGAGGGGUUAAGGCCCACCAAGGCGAUGAUCAGUAGACGGUCUGAGAUGAGGAGCGGCCACAUUGGGACUGAGACACGGCCCCGACUCCUACGGGAGGCAGCAGUGGGGAAUCUUCCGCAAUGGACGAAAGUCUGACGGAGCAACGCCGCGUGAGUGAUGACGGCGUUCGGGUUUUAAAGCUCUGUUAAUCGGGACGCGGUACCGGAAUAGAAAGCCACGGCUAACUACGUGCCAGCAGCCGCGGUAAUAC
rnacentral:rRNA from 1 species